rnacentral:rRNA from 1 species
AAUCGUGACUCGGGUUACCGCGGCUGCUGGCACGGAGUUAGCCGGUGCUUCUUCUGUGAGUGAUGUCCUUCCUGCCGGCUAUUAACCCGCAGGCCUUCUUCCUCACUGAAAGUGCUUUACAACCCGAAGGCCUUCUUCACACACGCGUCAUGGCUGGAUCAGGGUUGCCCCCAUUGUCCAAUAUUCCCCACUGCUGCCUCCCGUAGGAGUCUGGGCCGUGUCUCAGUCCCAGUGUGGCUGAUCAUCCUCUCAGACCAGCUACGGAUCGUCGCCUUGGUGAGCCGUUACCU